UCUCAAAACCUCAUCUUGGCAAAAGAACCUUUACUGCCUAUGUAUGUGUGGUGGCCAGCAGUAGCCAACUGCCACUCUGCAACUGCCACUCUGUAACUGCCACUCUGUAACUGCCACUCUGCAACGGCUUCCCACAUGAUGUCUUCAGCAAUAAGGGACAGUGACUGACCUUCCCUUGGGCAGGCUGCAAUCAAUGGAAAACGUCAAGAAUCAGGAUGAGAUAACAGAGCACAGCACAGGAAACUCGAGAUCAGGAAGUUUCGGGUUCUCUUUCCACAUCAAGGGCAGGGGAGUGGAGUGCCAGGCUUCUUCAGCUUAAUUUGCUGCAAAGAAUGAACUAGGUAUAAGCGAAAACUAAAAAGAGCUGCAGUGUCCGGGGGCCUUGAGCUCAGAAAAAUAUUAAAGAUCUAGAUUUUAUCAGAUCCAUAAUAAACAAAAAAAAUUUUUUUUUGAAAAAGCA
rnacentral:lncRNA from 1 species